rnacentral:rRNA from 1 species
GAUGAACGCUGGCGGCGUGCUUCCCUCAUGCAAGUCGAACGGGAAAUAUUUCAUUGAGACUUCGGGGGAUUUGAUCUAUUUCUAGGGGCGGACGGGUGAGUAACGCGGGGGUAACCUGCCUUAUACAGGGGGAUAACAGUCAAAAAUGGCUGCUAAUACCGCAUAAGCGCACAGAGCUGCAUGGCUCAGGGUGAAAAACUCCGGGGGUAUAAGAGGGACCCGCGUUGGAUUAGCUGGUUGGGGGGGUAACGGCCCCCCCCAGGGCAACAAUCCAUAGCCGGCCUGAGAGGGUGAACGGCCACAUUGGGACUGAGACACGGCCCAAACUCCUACGGGAGGCAGCAGGGGGGAAUAUUGCACAAGGGGGGAAACCCUGAUGCACCGACGCCGCGUGAAGGAAGAAGUAUCUCGGUAUGUAAACUUCUAUCAGCAGGGAAAAUAGUGACGGUACCUGAC